AUUGAACGCUGGCGGCAGGCUUAACACAUGCAAGUCGAGCGGGGUGAUGGUGCUUGCACUAUCACUUAGCGGCGGACGGGUGAGUAAUGCUUAGGAAUCUGCCUAUUAGUGGGGGACAACAUCUCGAAAGGGAUGCUAAUACCGCAUACGUCCUACGGGAGAAAGCAGGGGAUCACUUGUGACCUUGCGCUAAUAGAUGAGCCUAAGUCGGACUAGCUAGUUGGUGGGGUAAAGGCCUACCAAGGGGACGAUCUGUAGCGGGUCGGAGAGGAUGAUCCGCCACACUGGGACUGAGACACGGCCCAGACUCCUACGGGAGGCAGCAGUGGGGAAUAUUGGACAAUGGGGGGAACCCUGAUCCAGCCAUGCCGCGUGUGUGAAGAAGGCCUUAUGGUUGUAAAGCACUUUAAGCGAGGAGGAGGCUCUUUUGGUUAAUACCCAAGAUGAGUGGACGUUACUCGCAGAAUAAGCACCGGCUAACUCUGUGCCAGCAGCAGCCGCCG
rnacentral:rRNA from 1 species